rnacentral:rRNA from 1 species
GAAGCUCUCACACACGCCGGCUGGUAGUUCGAACAAUACUGCGUGAAACUUAAAGGCUCGUUCAGCGUCGGAAAAGUCUAAGUAGUUGUGUCCAAUGUAGUCAUCAGUUAUACCAAGUCUACGUAUUAUCAUGCAUGAAGUAAAGGAAAAACAACACAUGCCACAGGAUGUUGUACCUAGUAUAUAUAGCCAAUAGAAAGUCCAAGUCAAACGACACCGCUUAAGAAGAACUUAAACAACGUCGUUUGAACACCAGUACAUACCAAAAAUCAAAACGUUCGUACGUAUCAAAUCUUCAAUCUUUCGAGCAAGUACAUAACAAGAUUUGACUUUCAAAUUCACCGAAAAGGUGGGUACCAUAACACCACCAGUAUUAUCGUGUGGAGUGUUAAUAAUACCGGUCUAGAUGUUCGUGACUCGCAACACAAAAAAUCGGGGGAGACAAAGAGGACCCGUAGUUAGAUACGCGUUGUUCGAGAAGUCACGAACUACUGUUUAUUUCCAACGUAGAAUCUAUAAACGAACUAAACUUACUCGGUAAAACGACAGUCGAUUUGACAAUUUUCGGUCUACAUUCUAAUACAAAGAACCGUGUACUCAAUAAAAAGUCAGUUACGCACCGCUAAGGUGAAGCUUGACUAUAUACGUGAAAAAUAAACUUUGACUUGGUGGUACCAAAUUAAAAUAAAAGUAAACCUGUUCAAUGGGGUUCAUAGUAGUCAAGUACUACUGACCAAACCACACUACUUAACUAGGACCACGACUAAAUUCUCAAAAAAUACUGCGACAGAACAUUCCCUCAUUCCAGACCAUAGAUAUACCGACAAUAAAAUCGAGAAUGUCUAACGGUAUAUACUGUACGAUUAACAAAAAUCGAGAACUAUAUCAAUUUGAAAAAAAAAGCUUUGCCUCCGUUUUCUAAACGGAGUAGGUAAUUUACCCUCCUCUUAUCUCAAUUUGAAACCUACGUGGUCACGGACUACGUAUACAAACAAAUGAACCAAACUUGAGACUUACUAUACAACAAUAGGACGUGCGUACGGACUACUCAACCACGACGACCAUAAAACUCCUCCGUUCAACACCAAAAUGAGGACCGGGACUCUUCCCACUUGAUCCGGUAUCGCUCCCGCGGAAGUCCUUGUAGCUCAGUCCCACGGAGUGAAAGAUAAAGUCAGACGCUCCAUUACUUCCGUUUUUUUUCAAAGAUGAACGGGACAAGAACGUUGAUUUGUCUCUUUUUGACACACCAAUGACUUCGUAAUACCAGAUAUCAAUGGCUUCGUAACGUAAACAACUCUUUCACAAGGAAUAUGGUACAUUCAUCCCUGUUAAUGAUAAAUUGAUCCAUGUUAAUUAUAAAUUGUUCGGUGUCAACUAGUUCAUCAGUUACGAAUUUAUACGGGCGUGAGACAGCAUAGGUCCUACCUCGAAACGAUCGAAAACUCAACCUAAGAAAACUGACGUGGAUUUAUACUGUUCGGCUGUCAUUUACUCGAGUAAAAUUUUUUGACGUCAAAUUUCCUUUAAUAAUGUUAUACAUAUAGUUAAGGUUGUAACGAUAGACUUCCUACUAAAUUCCUGAUAAACAGAGACUACCGAAAGGGACAAACCGAGGGAAAAUACACUCAACUGAGAUGUCAAGAUCCUAGAAGAGACAUUGGUAUUUAAGUGUCGAAUCGUUUUCAUAUAUAUAUGAACGAUCUGGAAGAGUAAUGUGAGAAAGUGAAAAAACCUGAUUAUGAUAGGACAUAUCUGGAUUAUUGUCUUCUGUACCCUUUACGAAAGCAUUGUACUACAAAAAAAAACAAUCUACGAGACAAAUAAAUCACAGCAACUAGGUUUUUGGACUUUCACAUCUUUACAAGUACGUACCCUGAUAUCUUGGUUCAUAAAGAGCUAAACCACUACGAAUUAAGUCUCAAGAAUACGUAGUCUAACCUCACAAUUGUGUUUGGACAAUAAAUAAAGUGAAGUAUACUCAAUUACGGUUCCGGAAAAAACACAGGGGAGAUUAGUAACGUAGACAUAGAACUAGUAACAUAAUGCUCUUCGUUUUAUAAAGAGUACAAAACGAGUCACACAGAUGAAUAGAAUAAAUAAUAUAAUUGAUAAAAAACUACUAUAAAGUGUUCUUACUGUAACAAUCUAAAUCUAAGCAAUCCAAAGUUGUGUAAACUACCAUCCGGUAAAGUUAUUAAGAUAAACAAAGUCCGUAACCAUCUAACACAAUGUUGACUUCUCAAAGAACACGAUUAUGAACGUCUAGAGCUGUGUGGGACUUGUUACUCGUGUACAAUGGUCGGUGUAAGGUGUGUCCUACACAAGAAAAGUUUUGUUUCUAUGGGACUAUGUACUAAUAAGGAGAAAGUUCAAGAACUAGGAACUUCUAUGAACGAUCCAAAGAUCGACUAAAAAACCAUCAUAUUCCGAUAUUCGAGCUACAUAUACCGGACUUAUACUAGACUAAGUCUCAUGUAACACAAGACUUCGAAAAACGACAUACCAAGAGAGAACUUUCUUAAGUUCGGUAACAAGUUACCCUCUCUUAUCAACAUUAGGAGUUUAUUGACAGCAUGGAUAAGUAGUCGACUGUGUUAACGGUGGCUCUAGUAAUAAAAGGAAAAAAAAGUCCAAAAGUUGUAGUGCUUAAAGUAUGAAUACCUCACCUCGAUGGUUUUAUAGAUAACUCCUUUAUACAGCUUCGUGUCUUAUAUAAGGUAUACGUCACCUGAUUGUCUUGCUGUGUUGUGUAUUUUUCUCCUCGUAUUCACCUUUGGAAAGAAAGAGAAAUUUAAGAACUCCUGACAUUGUAAUACUACUUCCACCUUGGUAUCUCUCUACACAUAAAAAUUAACUCUAUAAAAGUCCUCAUGGAAACGUUUCGACUAUAUAGAAAGAAAAUGUUCUAUACCAACGUGAACGAAGUAGAUGUAUCCGGCAGACCUUACGGUACUCCGGCCCUAAACACAUCCUUUAAAAGUUUCGAUAAUAUAACCAGAGUUCUUUGAACGUUAUGUAGUUACGUAAAAAUAAAAAUAAAAAAACGACUGUGGUGUCGAUGGUGGAGAAGUGAUUUACUGUCUCCAACGGUCGUCGACGUGUACCUUUCUAACUUACAAUAUAAGACAGAUGAUUAGUUAUUCCUCCCUCUAGUUUUAAUUACGAGAGUUUAUAAGCGGACUAGUAAACAUACAAAGACGUUAAAAGG